rnacentral:rRNA from 1 species
UACGUAGGGGGCAAGCGUUACUCGGAUUCACUGGGCGUAAAGCGUGCGUAGACGGUUAUGUAAGUCGGGUGUGAAAGCCCCGGGCUCAACCUGGGAAUGCCAUUCGAGACUGCAUAGCUAGGGUGCGGAAGAGGGAAGCGGAAUUUCCGGUGUAGCGGUGAAAUGCGUAGAUAUCGGAAGGAACACCAGUGGCGAAAGCGGCUUCCUGGUCCAGCACCGACGUUCAGGCACGAAAGCGUGGGGAGCAAACAGG